rnacentral:lncRNA from 9 species
GGUCACAUCCCAAAUUCCCAGGGAAGGACUCUGAUUGGUCCAAUUUGGCUCCAAGGCCAUCUUUGGACCAAUCAGCUGUGACCAGGAAGCAGAAUCGUUGGAUGUAAAUAUGUCUGUUUGCAUUUAUCUAUGUAAUAGAGGGGAUGAGAGGAAAGGUCCAAUAUCCUGGUAGCUGGGGAAGCUAAUCACAUAAAACAAGUUUUUUUAUGCAUUUUUUUUCCUAUGAAUUUCUAGAAACUUUAAAAGGAAAGAUUGGAGAAGAAGAGGGGCAUGAGCCAAGUAAGCUCUGGGGGAGCUUCGGAAUUAACCAGCUCCCCCACAUUACUGAUGAGCUUCUUCCAGCUAAUGGAAUAAUGAAAACACAAAACAGAUUUACCGUUCUUAAUAAGAGAGAGAGAUAAUGAAGGCAAAUUAAAAUGGAAGCUCAGAUCUGCGUGGAGAACAGCUUGCUGCCAUGCAUGUGGCUCAAAGACAAAGGAAAGCGCUUAAUAAAAAAAAGCAAAAAAUUACCUGAGUUUGUGGACCAAGAAUAAGCCAAGAACAACACUGGGGGCACCGUGGAAUAGCUACAACAGAGACUGUGUAUCGUGAGCGGGUUUGGCUCAACCUUGGGUUCUGAGCAACUGCAAGGUGAUAUACCCUUUCUCGAAGCUUCCACCAUCCUCACUGGAAGAGCCAAAGACCCUCAGGUCAGCAGGGCAGGCUUUCUGGCUCCUCUGUCCCCUUAGAAGAGGCCAAGAUGGCAAUCUUGACUUCAGAAUCUUUAUUGGAAAAUAAACACUGUUUAAUGUACAAGAAAUCCCUCCAAGGGUCCAGUCAAAACAUCCCCAUGUGGGAUUGAUGCCAUUCGAAUGGACUCCAGAUGUCCCCUGGUCUCAGUGUCCCUGUGACCUCAAGGAGGGAGGAAGGCCCUGCAGGGAGACACGUGGCGGGUUUAGCACCCAAGGAAGCAGCUUGCUUUGCCACCCCAGCUGCUGUGCGGUGAGGGUGUUUGGGUGAUUCCCUGGCCCUGCCCAGCUUCGCCAGACUCCAUCCACCUCUCCCUCAAGGUCUCUAUGGCCAUUCUCUUGAGUUUUUUCAUUCAACCAAAGGAAAUGCCCUGCCUGGGGUGGGGUCAGGGGGUAGGAUUCUACUCAGAAUCAGAGCCCAGUGUGGCUUUCCACAGGCCAGGUCAGCUGGAGGCCUGUGCCUAUGUCAAAGCCAGGCAGGGCUGCAGAGAAAACUGUGGAAAGAGCUGGGAGUGGGGCAGUCACAGAUGGAGGGGCUGGAGAGAAGCAGCAGAGACCAGAAGCUGAAAACGGAGGAUGGGGGUGGGAGAGGCAACCUCAGAAAUGCCUCUACUGAUAACGUCUCUGAGGAUUACUGAUCAAAAUUCCACCCUUCCAUUUAAAUACCCGAGCUGGGAGUUCCCACUGUGAUGCAGUGGAAACAAAGCUGACUAGUAUCCAUGAGGAUGCUGGUUCGAUCCCUGGCCUCGCUGAGUGGGUUAAGAUCCAGCCUUGCCUUGAGCUGUGGUAUAGGUUGCAGACACAGCUCCGGUCCCUUGACCUGCGCCAUAACCACAGCAAUGCCAGAUCUGAGCCACAUCUGGGACCUAUGCCACAGCUUGCAGCAACACCCGAUCCUUAACCCACUGAGCAAGACCAGGGAUCAAACCUGCAUCCUCACAGUCAAGUUCUUAACCCAUCGAGCCACAAUGGGAACUCCUACUAAUACAUUCUGGAUGUAAAAAAUAUUUAAAUAACCCAUUAAAUCAGACUUGUGCCCUUGGGAGAGUUGAGUCACCCCCAACCCGGCUCCCGGAAGGCCCUAGUGCCUGCCCUCCCCCACCCCCCGUCCCUAGAGUCAGGAGCAGGUGGCUGUGUCUCUCUGAUGCAACCCUGUCUCAUACAAAAGCUCCGAGAGCUGGGAGCAUGUCUCAUGAGCUUUGGUUGUCCUUCCUCAACGCCCCCCCACCCCCUUCUGCUUGAGGAUGACCACAGGAGAUGCUUCGAUGACAACAAGGGUGGUAAUAGUAAUUCCAGCUAAUAGCAUGGAGCCCUAGUUGAGCCUCAUAACAACCCCAAAUAGGAAGUUACAGCCAUCACUACCCUGUUAGCCUAAGAGGAAUUGGAGGCACAGAGAGUGUAAAUACUUAGGAUGUGUCCCCAGCAAGGACCACAGUCAUCCUGAUGGGGAAGCCUGCAUCCUUGUCUUUGUACAAGGGAUCCUCAGCAGGCUCUGGAGUUGAAGAGAAUCAGCACUUUCCAUCCCUACAUGUGGCUCCGAACAGGAAGGAAGCCAGAGAGGAGAAUUACCUUUGGGGACAGGAAAGCAAGAAAAAAAUCCCCGCUAAUGGGAUGAUCCAGUCUUAGUUCUGGUCCAGGCCCAGCGCUCAUCUUCCAGGCUGACUUCUGUCCCCCCGCCCCACCAUUACUGCCCAGAUAUUGGAAUCAAGGUUUGUGGGGGCUGCAAGAGAGAGCCCCAUGCACCCUCACCAGGCCUCCCUCCCUGAGAGGAGCCAUGUGUAAAUACCCCGUGAGUGGUGUGAAUUUCCAUGAUGUACACAAUUUGGGUUUGGCUAAAUCAGCCACAUGGAGGCAGAGACUUCUAAAAGUCUAGCCCCAGAAGGGGAUUUAAAAACCAUUUAUUCACUCUCCCUUUUUUUCACUCUGUUCCAGCCUCACUGCUGUUCUCCUAGCACAGGGGCCUGCUUCUGCCCCAGGGCCUUUGCAUUUAUCAAGCCUUUUGUCUGGGACAGAAUUUACCUCCUUCCUGUCUUGGCUCAGAUGUCAGCUGCUCAGUAAGACCUUUUGUUACAGUUACAAACCCAUCUCCCCUUCCUCACUUUAUGUUUUCUCCCAGGAUGUUUCACGUCCUGACAUUUUACUGAUUUUCCUCUUUGUUACCUUCCUCCCACCCUCUAGGAUGUCAGCUUCAUGGGGGCAGGGCUUCCUAUCUAUUUGGCGUCCUGUGGGGUAUACCCAAAGCCUGGCACGUAAGAGAUGCCCAAUACACAUUUGUCAAAUAAAUUAUGUUCAAGAGCAUCCCAUUUUACAGGUGAGCAAACUGAGGACCAGCAGAGGGAGGGACUUGAUCAAGCCAUGAGAUCAAAGUCUAUCCAGGUGGGAGUUCCCACUCUGGCACAGCUGGUUAAGGAUCUGGCAUUGCCGCAGCUGUGACAUAGGUCACAGCUGAGGCUCCUGGCCCAGGAAUUUCCAUAGGCUGCAGGUGUGACCAAAAGAGUAAAAAAAAAAAAAAAGUCUGUACAGGUGUCCUAGGGCUGCUGGAACAAAUUAUCACAAACUUGGUAGCAUAAAACAUCUAUUCAUUCACUCGCAAUUCUGGAGACCAGAACUAUGAAAUGAAGGUGUCAGCAGAGGCUCUUAGGCAGGAUCUUUCUUGCCUCUAAAGCUUCAGGGGACCCCAGGCUCCCUCGGCUUGUGGCCGCCUCCCUCCAAUCUCUGUCUCUGUCUUCACAGGGCCCUCUCCCUGUGUCUCUGUGGCCCUCUCCUUCAUCCUAUAAGGACACUGGUCAUUGGAUUUAGAGCCCACCCCAGCCUCAGGAUAACCUCACCCCAAGACCCUCAACUAAUUACGUCUGUCAAGACCCUCUUUCCAAAUAGGGUUCCCUUCUGAGGUUCCAGGUGGACAGGAAUUUAGGAGAACACUGUUCAACCACCGCACUGGCAGAGCUGACUAGAACUCAGGUCUCCCCCGCCACCCCCCGACCACAGCCCCCUCAGGGGCUCCACUAGAGUCUCUGCUUUGAGAGGUUAGGUUGGCAGCCGACGGCUGUGGCUGUCAGUCUCCCGUGAACUUGUCAAGUAGGAGAGGGAAAAAAUAAACUCUGGGGUUAAUGAAAGCAGCGAGAUGAUCUCGGCUGAUCCCCCCUAAUCCCCUGCUCUGAGCUCGGCUUUCCAUCAUCAGUCGAGGCUUCUUUUUUUCCCCUUCUUUGUCCGAGUUUCCCCAGAGAAGCAAGCCUUCCAAAUUUAAUAAACUUCCCCCGCCCCCAGCUUUCCCUAAAAUAAAGUAACAGCAGGAUGAUUUUCAAAUGUC